AAUCAAUUUAAACAACAUCAAAAUGUAGAAAUAACUCAUCCUUACACAGAGUUAAUAACUCUAGCUAAAAAUUCAUUUCUAUUUCAUUUUUUUUACUUUAUCUUUUUCCUGAUAGGAUGUAUCUUUUUCACAUUGCAUUUCUCACACAAUGAUGGAUUUCUUUACAACAGAGGAACAGAUGACUAUUUUUUCUUCUUAUUCUGGUGUUUUCUUGCAAUGUUCACUUGUUGUAUGUUUUCACUAUCUCUGCCUAAAAAUCCUGAAAGCUCCUUGGGCAAUGGCAUGACAUAGGGUUGAGUUACAAUGCUUUGUUUGUCUUCAAAGACGAUACUGACAGGCUCUGCACUCACUGAAGGGGGUAAGAAGAUCUCAAACACCAGUCCGUCAGCCAGUGCAGUUGAUUUAUAGUAGGAUUGCUCACACCCAUGUCGAAAAGUAGUGAUAGAGUGAUAGAUUUCGUUGAUGCAGACUGCAGGGGUGUGGGAGCUUUCAAUCGAGCAGGGUCCAGUUUCUCGGGGGCUGUCAUGGGCGCAGCCAUCUUAGUUGUUUUUGUGUGUAAUGACGUCAGCUCCUUUUCCUGUGAGAAGGAAUCUAACACCGUCCUGCUUCCAGCACCGCCCUGAGAUCUGCCUCCUUGCUGCAUCACUUGUGCUCUCCCUGCUCCGCUUUCGGCCCUGCCUGCCAUCUCGUCUUUCGCACCGCCCCUGGGGUCUGGCAGCUGAGGGACUUCCUGGUUACUUUCAUUCUGCUUGGGAGCUGGAGAAGGCAUUUCUUGCCCUCGGAUUGCAUGGGACGAACAAAAGGGAGCUACGUCCUCACUCUCGGAAUGCGCGGAAUGCACGGAAUGCAGACCAAAAAACCUCAUUGUUUUAGACAGCCUUUUUAUCUCUUUUGGCUCGGAGAGGGACGUUUUUGAAACAGAAAGACAGGGAGACGUCUUUUCUGUGGCUAAAAUUGCAGUUUUACAGUUUGCAAGGUAUUUAUUGCUUUUUUCCAAAUUACACCUAAUUCUGAACGAUCCUUUGCUCUUUUUCCUUGUAAAACUACAGCGUCCCAUCUUAAUCUUCCUUUUUCCUUCCAUCCUGCUUCACUAAAGCGAAGCAAUGGCUGAUUUAGCUUUCGUUUUUUCUGAACCCAUAGGGUUAACUGUCCCAUAUUAGCUCUUAUCUUUUCGCCCCGCUGGGAGGCACUGAUGGCUACACACUGAAAAACAGCAGGGUAAUAUCUUGCCAUCGUCUCUUUUUAGUCUUUUUUCUUCUUUCUGCGAUCACUGCUUACCUUCUUUCCGUCAGCAGUGGGGGGGGCACCACGGACCUUCUGAACGACUCAGUCAGCAAUCGCUCCCCCAUCUGCCUUGCCAGCUCAGAACAGGUGUAUGCAAGCACACGAAUCACUUUCCAAGCACAAGGACUUUUCCGCAUCUAAGCAAAAACUCCGCAUUCAAGCGACAAAAACCCCUCAUUUAAGAGAAAAUAAAAACCUCAUCUAAGAGAAGAAACUGUCCCUGUUCGGGCACCACUAUGUUGCUGGGAACAGUUAAAGACUGGGGACUAGAGAAACGAGGGUCCAAACCAAUAUGGUUAUAUCGCAGGUUCUCCGCUUUAUUCCUUGAGAUGGCGGGUUAAAUACAGACAGAAUAGUUUACAAGAACAGGUGCAUUCUGAUAGGCAGUGAGAGUAAAGAAGUAUGUAAGCUAUUGCAGUUUAAGGCAGCCACCGUGUUUUCUCAGUAACUGUUCUAUGCUAUUAGCACUCCUACCGUAACACAUUCCCAAUACCAGAUAACCUUAUCUGGUACUACGUAUGUUGGGCGUACGAGGCCUACUAGGCCCAGGCCUGAGGCCUGGUCUGAGGCCCAGUUGUGGAUAGCUCUACUUUACGAUAUAAGCCAUCCUGCUACAAGCUUUGAAUCUUGCAUGGCUUCCUGAGCAAAUAGGUGCACCAGAGCUAAUCCCACAGCAGGUUUUUUCCUUAUGGGCAGGGCACCAGCCCAGCAAACACAUCAGCUUUGCCUCUGCAAGAGAAAUUCCAUGGCCUGGGAAGGUUUGUUUGGAUUAAAAAAAAAAUCACUAAAAUUACUGAGAUGGCAUUUGCAAGGUUGGGAGUGUUUGGGGUGAGAAAAGCAGGAGGAGAGGCAUGUUUGGGUCUCCUCGGAGCUGUGGGAGCCAUGGGGAUGUUGCUGGGGGGAAGGUUCUGUCCCUGCACUGUUCUGUGCCUAAAUCAGAUUGUUUCUGCUCUGCAGAGGAUCCCUGGGAAAAGGACCUGGUUUGUUAAACCCUUCCCCCAACAGCUCUGGUGCCUCCAGGUUGAGCUGCUCACCUUCUCAGAAGAAUUUUUGGUUGGUUUUCCUGUAACUUGUCGCUUUCUCUCCAUGUGUGACAGGGAACAAGCUGCUGCUGGUCACCCCUUGGGUUUUCCCCCUCAGGACACCUGUGUCCUGAGGAGAACAGAUGUCUCCAGCAGGUUGGGAGUGAGGCAGGGCCUUGGUCCCCACCCUCCAGGACCCUGCAGGAAUGUGGAUCUGCAGCCUCUGAGAAAGGAUGCACAGACAGUAGGGUGAAAGGCAGGACAGGAACAUUGGCUGUGCCCUGGCCCUGCUUUGUCCUAGUUUUUCAGCAAAAGGAAACUCUUCCGGCUGAUAUUGGUGUGUCAGGGGCUCUCCCUUAGCUGGGCUGCAGAUGAACAUCUCCGUGGUGCAGGGAGGGACGGGAGUCAGAGAUUCCACCUGCAUCUCAGCCUCCAGGUGAACACCCCCAGCUGUCCCAGCCUGGCUCCAGAGCACAGGGGCUCCAGCCUUUGGAGCAGCUCCAUGGCCUCUUCUGGACUCGCUCCAGAAGCUCCACAUCUCUCUGGUGUUGGACCCAGAGCUGGAGGAAGCUCUGCAGGUGAGGUCUCACCGGGGCUGCAGAUGCUGGAGGUGCCCAGAGCAGCCUCUCCAGUUCACUGCUGUGCCCAGUGCACUCCAGUGUGGAUUCCCCAAGGGGUUGACUCUGGCUGAUCCCUCUUUGCAGAGCUCACCUCUUCAAAUUCCAUCCCAUCGUUGAAUUAUCUCUUUGCUCAGUGAUCUAAUCCUCUUUGCCAGAUCAGCCUUCAAGCCUCUUUCCAGGGCUCCUUUCCAGCAUGGUCACACUAUUUCCCUGCUUGCUUACACUGCUCCCUGCGUAGGGACUAACUCUGGGGUUUAUUUUUCUCCUACUCCAUCAGCAGCUGUCAGCUGGGGGGUUGCUUGGGGGGUUGCUGUCCCCAAACAUCCCUGUGAUGGGAUUUCAAGCCAACUUUUAUGAAUUCAUCUACAUCCAGUGGGUGUCUGGGAGUAUUUGGUCCCAGUGAUGUCCUGUGUCACAGCACACAGUGUGAUUUCAGCCCCAGUAGUCCAAAGGGUACAAACCACUGGGACAAAUGGGGACACUGAGGAUAACCGAGGCUGUACCCUGAAGGAGAGACACCUGUAGGGAUGGUGGGAGGCUGCAAGGGGGGCUGCAGUGAGCAAGGAGGCUUCAAGAUCGGUGAAAGCAUCAAAAAAGAGGCAUGAAGCAUAAAAGAAUUGGGAUGGAGGGCUGUGGUGGGAAGCUGGGGAGUGAGGAAGGGAUCAAGGAGGGACCAAAACCCGCAAUUAAACCAGAUUUAAUUUUCCCCCUGCCAGUUUUGAACUGGCAGUUCAAAACCUCAUGCUGUGCCAGUCCAAUUCUACCCAAACUUAGUAAAAAGUGGGGAAAUUCUCAUCCAGCAGCUGCUUUACCUGAACAAAGAUGUUUCAGGGGAUUUUGGUGAGCACUGGGUACUUCUCCUGUGAUAAAAUCUGGAAAAUCUGUGUCUGUUUCAUGGGCUUUGAGCCACAGCCCAAGGUGCCCUGAUGCUCGGGAAGGACUCACCAUGCUCACAGCAGUACCCUUCAAUACCAGGGAAUUCCUUCUUCCCAUGGCUCUCAGCUCCAGGGAAGUGGGAGGAUUGGAGAUUUUCUCUCCCCACAUCCCGCUCCCCCAGAGCUGUCCUGAUCUGAGGACACUGGUGGCCCUCUCACCUGUCAGGUAGAGGUUGGGCACGGCUGUCUCUGCCCGCACGGCGGCGAUGGUU